AAGGCAUCGAAGGGCGGGUGAAUAAACUGCUGGGAAGAGGCUAAUGCAUGGCUUGAGGGCGUGCAGUCAUCCUCCCGAAGCACGACGCUUAUACGGUUUGACGGCCCAAGAGACUCCGGACUGACUCUGCAGCAACUGCUGAGAUGUGGACGGGGUCGAAUUCGGGGUUCGCGCCGAAAGGAAGAACCCCAGUUUCUGUUCAGCCCGUUGCUCAACAGGCGCUCUGUUUGGUCCAUCCAGGGUAAUUAGAUGUGUGGCGCUUUUGCUUGCGGUUCCUGGGACCUGGGCCGGCAUAGAAUAAGAGAGAGGGA
rnacentral:sRNA from 2 species